CUCCGCCAUGUUGCCGCCCCCUGCCUGCGGUAGCGGCCACUGCGCCUGCGCAGAGCCUCCGGGGGGCGGAGCCCUCGUGCACCCCCUUUUUCGCCCUGCCCUCCUUCCCCUUCCACCCACCCAGCCCGACACCCCUCGUCCCUCCCCCAACCGCCCCGAACGGAUAGACAGAUCAGCAGCUACUUGAAGACAAGAACUAUAUCAUUCUUACAAAUAAAACCUUCAGCAAUGUACUGUGAUCAUUGACUGAUUCAUGAUUCCAUGCUAAGUGCUGGUGGUAUCAAAUAAGACACAAGCUCGUACUGUGAAGAUGAGUUUCUGCCAUCGCAAAGACUAUAUGGAAACGGGAGUGAUGUUGCUGAUUCUCCUGGCAUUUUAUGUAACUGAGCAUCACAGUGGUAGAACGGUCAUGAGUUAACUCAUGUGGACUCAUGAACCUGGUGGUGAUGGGCAGCCUACUGCUCCUGCUGAAACGUUGCAAGAAUUACAGGCUACCUGCUUGCUGCUGGUCUGGGAUGUGGCUGCUUAAAGAGUGAAAUCUCAUGACAUGCAGUGGUUAUACCCAGGUGCUGGUGUGAAUGGUCACUCUCCUGCCUGGCUGGAAGGUCCCUGGAGUGGGAUUCGUGGCAGCAGAAUUCUCCCAUUCUCUGGGUGCUGAGGAUACGGAUGUUACUGGAGAAGGAUGCUGUGGAUUGACAAGUCAGCCAGAGGGAUCAUUCACUCUGAGGAAGCCAGCUGCCACAUCAUGAAGACCCUCUGGCUCUUCUAUGAAGAAACUCCCAUGACAAGGAUCUAAGGCCUCGUGCCAAAAGCCAUGAAAGGGAGCAUCUUGGAGCUGAUCCUCUAGACCCAGUCUUCAGGGGACUGCAGACUGCAAGGCAACAGCUUAACUGGGAGGCCCUGAAUUGGAACCACCCAACUACCCAACUGUGCUGCUCUGGGAUCCCUGACCCUCAGAGACUGCCCACUGGCUCUAACCAUUUAUGGAAUUGCCUUGGCUACUCAAGGGACCAGAUGUUCCCUGGGGUUGUGACCCACUGCUCCUGCAUUUAGCCUCCUGGCUGGCUGCUUGCUUGCUUGGACUCAGCCCAGUACAGAUGGCAUCACUGCUAAAUCAGAGAGGAUGACACUCGGUUUCCUGGUCCUCCCUCAAGUUGCUACUUUGCUGGCACUCAGAGACCUCUAAGUCCUUAUGGAAGGUGUGAUAUUGUGGAGAAAGGAAGUAACACCUGUGUGAGUUAAAAGGCGACCCUCACAGAUACUGCAGAUUUGGGUCUGGAUCAUCACGAUGAAGUGAAUAUCGCAAUAAAGCAAGUCACAUCAAUUUUUCUUUUGCUUCCCAGUGCAUAUAAAAGUUAUGUUUAUACUGCAGUGCAGUCUGUUAGGUGUUCAAUGGUAUUAUGUCUAUAAAAACAAUGUACACACUUUAAUUUUAAAAUUAGUGCUGUUGGGAAAAUGCCUGAUACAGGGUUGCCACACACCUUCAAUUUGUAAAAAGAAAAAAAAAUUAUUGCAAAGUACAAUAAAAUAAA